AUUGAACGCUGGCGGCAGGCCUAACACAUGCAAGUCGAGCGGAUGAAGGGAGCUUGCUCCUGUCUUCUGCUGCGGACGGGUGAGUAAUGCCUAGGAAUCUGCCUGGCCUUUGGGGAUAACGUCCGUACACGGGCGCUAAUACCGCAUCCGUCCUGAGGUAGAAAGUCGGGGAUCUUCGGACCUCACGCUUUCAGAUGAGCCUAGGUCGGAUUAGCUAGUUGGUGGGGUAAAGGCCUACCAAGGCGACGAUCCGUAACUGGUCUGAGAGGAUGAUCAGUCACACGGGAACUGGGACAGGGUCCAGACUCCUACGGAGGGAAGCGGUGGGGAAUAUUGGACAAUGGGCGAAAGCCUAAUCCAGCAAUGCGGGGUGGGUGAAGAAGGUCUUCGAAUUGUAAAGCAUGUUAGGUGGGGAGAAAAGGCGGUAAGUUAAUACCUGGCUGUUUGGACGUUACCAACAGAAUAAGCACCGGCUAACAUCGG
rnacentral:rRNA from 1 species